CCAAAAACCAGACCCCAGCUCCGCCGCCUCCCUCCGCCGGUGAGCCGCUCGCCCACCGCCAGCGAAAUCGUCUCUCUGACGUCGCUGGAGUCUGGAAGGCGGCGUAGUUCCUGCGAAGAUUCUAUCACUAAAGAAGCACGGACAGCUGUCGUCGCGCUCGCUGGCGCAGAGUGCUCGUCACUGUUUCGACCCAUCGAAGGCCGGAAUCUCCCGCGAUGGAUCUCUGCCCGUUCAAACAGGACGUCGAUGAGCUGAUCAACGAGUUCGCACAGGGCGAAUCGACGGCUUUAGCUGAUAUGAAGCGCAUAUGGCUGUCUAGGAAGUUCUCGUACAUUUACGAGGCUCGUCCUUCGUCCAACUUGACCUUCUUCAUGCAGACGCUCUAUUCUCAGUCAAUCGGUCACAUGGUCAACUCAGAGUCCCUGUCUCGCCGGUUAGGUGGACUGUAUUGCCUUUACUGUCUUUAUGAAACUCAACCAUUCAAGCCUCCUUUCAGAAUCUAUCUCUCUCUGGGAGAGCUGAAGAAUCUUAGGCAUCUUGUUGCUAGUGCAAAAGUUCAAGGAAUAACGGUGGUAUCACCUCUGGUCAAGAAAAUGCUAGAAAAGAACAUGUUUCUAUUUGGGGCUGUUGAAAUCAAUGAAGGCUCUAUUACAGAAAGAGUAAACCAACUCAUGGAACUGCAGAAUGCACGUGUUCAAGUAGCUUAUAACAAGUUAUUUGCUAAUACAAGGAUUGAGCAUUUUCUCCACAUGGAUUUGGAUACGGAAAUUGAUAUGGAUAUGGUCAAGAAUAUGUCAAAUGAAUAUGCCGAGGCCAAGAAAAGAGCCAUUAAAGAGGCUAGCGAGGUGGUCGAUGUUCAGAACAUAGAACAUAUAGCUCACAACAAGAAACCACUUGGAGAUGAACUGAUGAAGAUUGAGGAAAACUGGACUGUGCAGAGAGACAUGCUUUACCGUCAGAUAGGUUUCAAUCAGCAUGGUGGUGAAAAAUGGAAACAGCAACAAUUGCAAUUAGUACAGCAUCGGCUGGAGGACGAACCAGAUGAAGGAGAAGAUGAAGGCUUCGAGCAAGAGCUGGAACAGCUUCUAUCUCAACAUUAAUUGGAUAAUUAAAAGGAACGGAUUAGGUCAAGGCACCGAAUUUUUGAAGUUGGACGCUGGCCCCUCCAAUUUCUUAGAACUGCUUGAAGCGCUGUGACUGAAGUGCUCUGCAGUUUGCGAUGCCAAUGUGCGGGGUGGAGGCUAGUACCGAAACGUGAUUGGACUGAGGUGUUUCUGAAGAAUUGAACGUACAUUAGAACUUUGGCAGUGGAACAGCGGAGCUUUAUCUUAAGAUUCUUUUGUGGUUGCUUGUAGUUUAUCUCAUCCCGUUCCAUCUUAGACGACCUGCCAAAUGUUAACAAAUGGUUAAACAAGGUUGGAGGGUUAGGAACAUGUAACAUUUGCAAUUUCAGAUAGUUAAAGACGUCACUAUCAUAGUUUUGUUUUGAGUUCUCUCAGAUUUGGAUCAAUUUUUUGUCCAGCUUCUUAUAAAUCCAACGGUACAGGAUUGUUUGAAUUA